UACAGAGGUCCCGGGCGUUGUUCGGAUUCAUUGGGCGUAAAGGGUGCGCAGGUGGCGGGGUAAGUCUGAUGUGAAAUCCCGGGGCUCAACUCCGGAACUGCAUUGGAUACUGCUCUGCUUGAGUACUGGAGAGGAGACUGGAAUUUACGGUGUAGCAGUGAAAUGCGUAGAGAUCGUAAGGAAGACCAGUGGCGAAGGCGAGUCUCUGGACAGUUACUGACACUGAGGCACGAAGGCCAGGGGAGCAAACGGG
rnacentral:rRNA from 1 species